rnacentral:lncRNA from 1 species
GCUGAAGCCAUGCCCACACAAGGGAAAGUGACUUAUCACUGGGCCCAGCACACAGGUGGAUGGUGACUCUAAGACCAGGAUUCAACACAACUAGAAGGCUUUGACUCUAAUACGAGUCACAGAAGGCUCUGCGACUCUUCUAUUUUCUCUAGGUUAUGCAAAUGGAGGUGGAUUGUGACAUAUCAUAGGGCCAACACAACACACAGUCUACAGGUGGAAUUGGGACUCUCAUGCAUGGAUCCAGUUCAUCAUUGAUACUGUGACUCAGGUGGGAUUUUGACAUAUAACUGCACCCAGCACACAGUGGUCCAUUACAUUGAUGACAUUAUGCUGAUUGAAUCCAGUAAGCAAGAAAUAGCAAACACACCAGACUUAUUCAUGAGACGUUUGCAUGCCAGAGGAUGGAAAAUAAGUCUGACUAAAAUUUAGAGACCUUCUAGCUCAGUAAAACUUCCAGGGGUCCAGUGGUCCAAGGCCUGUCAAGAUAGUCCUUCUAAGGUAAAAGAUGCAGUGGCUCAUGCCUGUAAUCCCAGCACUUUCGGAGGCUGAGGUGGGCAGAUCAGGAGGUUAGGAGUUCGAGACCAGCCUGGCCAACAUGGUGAAAUGCCAUCUCUACUAAAAUUUUAAAAAAUUAGCUAGACGUGGUGGCAGGCACCUGUAAUCUCAGCUACAUGGGAGGUUGAGGCAGGAGAAUUGCUUGAAACUGGAAGGCAGGGGUUGCAGUGAGCUGAGAUCAGGCCACUGCAUUCCAGCCUGGACAACAAGAGUAAAACUCCAUCUCAAAAAAA